rnacentral:rRNA from 1 species
UACGUAGGGGGCAAGCGUUGUCCGGAAUCAUUGGGCGUAAAGCGCGUGUAGGCGGCCCAGUAAGUCCGCUCUGAAAGCCCGGGGCUCAACCCCGGGAGGCGGGUGGAUACUGCUGGGCUCGAGUCCGGAAGAGGCGAGUGGAAUUCCUGGUGUAGCGGUGAAAUGCGCAGAUAUCAGGAGGAACACCGAUUGCGAAGGCAGCUCGCUGGGACGGUACUGACGCUGAGACGCGAAAGCGUGGGGAGCGAACAGG